UCACACCUUUGAAAUUCCAAAGCAUCCGUUUCGCCACACACGCACACCCCCCAAACCCAUCCACAGACUCACUCACUCUCACACACACGCCACUCUCUCUCUACACUCUCGUAAUCGAACGAAUUUCCGGCGAGAAGCGACGAUUUCCUCACCGUUCGCCGGCCCUCCGUCUCGCGGCUGCGGACCCCUGCAUUUCCCGGCGGAUUCCUCCGGCAAUCGCCCCGGAUCAGCCCGAGCGAAACGGGUCGACCGGUGCGUGUCUGGAAGCGCUAGUCAGUGCUCCGAGCUUCGCGCGUGUGGAGCAUUUCGAGUAGCUUCUGGGGAGAGCAAGCUGAGUUGGGGGUAAUCAUGGUGGUCCUUGGUGCCAUGGUGCUGAAUUGGGGGGAAAUCCAGCUGCUGUGAUCGAGAUGCUCUUAUUGGGUGUUUGGUGUCGUGGCUCAGUUCCUUGUCUUGGGAUCCAUAGGGGUGCUGAGUUUGGGUCGGGUGACGUGGUAGUUUUCGUUUGACUCGGAAUGAUUUUCUUUGGGUCUAGAUCUGAGUCCGAUUUCGGAAAAUGUUAAAUUCCUUCUCCUUACCACGUGCAUACCACAUGCUCUACCAAAUGUUUGAACCAGACUCACACAAGCUUGUCUCUGUGCCAUAUGUACGAACUGACCACCAUAUGUUUGUAAUAAUGUUUGAAUGAAGCUAUGUUUA